rnacentral:lncRNA from 1 species
AAAACUGAAAUGGAACAGGGGCAGAAAAUAGCACACUUUUACUCUACGCAACUGUUGCUUUUUCAUGAUCUUCAGGAAUUUUACUGGGAUAAUUAUCCAAAUAAAUUGCAAGCAUUCUAUCCAAAUGGAGCUCUUUCUGAGAUGAAGAGAAUUCUCAAUGUCAAGAUUUGAACAAGAAGAGAAUGGAAUACACAAUAUGGACAUCCAUAAAAAUUCAUCAGAGAGCAUUUUACUACUGAGCUGCAAAGGGAAAAACUUAAAAUGGAUAUGAAAAGUGAAGAAAGUGAUCAUAGGAGAAAACCAUUUCAGAUGACAAGAGCACCUCAAAGGCAGCAGCCUCAAGGAGCAGCCAUGGCCCCAGACUUGUCGCACGGAUGCAGAAAACUUAAUGGAGGAGGCUGAGGAACUCUUCCAGACUCUGGGAAAUAUGUCUCCAAGAAAGCAGACAAUACCCCUGCCCUCUGUGGAAGACUGACAAAUAUACAAGUGCAUAUGUAUAUAUAGACUGUCAGAUGAUGUAAGUAUGAUGAAGAAAAUGAAAGCCAUGUAAUGGGUGAUGGAGCGGGGCAUAGAAAGGUGCCAUUUGCUAUUUUAUAGAAGUAGAUCAGGGAAGACCAUGUCAUGGUAGAUAUCUGAGCAGAGACCAUUCCAGGUGUGGGAGCAUGUCAGAGAGGUAUCCAGGGGCAACAGUUCCAGGCAGAGAAAGCAUGAAGAGCAAGGUGCCCAAGGCCAGAGCAUGUGUGCUUGGCAUUUUCCAGGAGCAGCAAGGAAUUUAGUGUGGCUGAAGGAGAAUGAGCAAGGGAGAAAGCAGCAGGAGAGUGCACAUGAAGCCCUGUGUGCCAUUACGAAGACUCUGCUUUUUUUUUUUUUUUGAGUCGGAGUCUUGCUCUUCCGCCCAGGCCGGAGUGCAGUGGCGCGAUCUCGGCUCACUGCAAGCUCCGCCUCCCGGGUUCACGCCAUUCUCCUGCCUCAGCCUCCCGAGUAGCUGGGACUACAGGCGCCUGCCACCUCGCCUGGCUAAUUUUUUGCAUUUUUUUUAGUAGAGACGGGGUUUCACAGUGUUAGCCAGGAUGGUCUCGAUCUCCUGACCUCGUGAUCCGCCUGCCUCGGCCUCCCAAAGUGCUCACCCUCCCUACCUUUAGCGUCUGCCUCACCUCUUGUCUCUGUGUUCCUCUAUACCUGUGCUGUCUUGUAUGGUCACCACUAGCCACAUGUGUCUACUGAGAACUUGGAAUGGGGCUAGCCCAAAUGGACAAUAUGAGAAAAAUGUAAAAUAUCUCAAUACUUUUCGUAUUGUUUCAUACGUUGAAAUACAAAUAGUUUGAAUAUAUUUGAUUAAGAAAAAUGAAUUCCAUAUUUCUUUUCUUGUAAUUAACAUUUUUGUUUUGAGAUAAUUCUAGAUUUCCAUGCAGUUGUAAGACAUAACACAGAGAAAUCCUGUGUACCCUUUAUCCAGUUUUCCCAAUAGCAAUAUCCUGCAAAUCUUAGUCACAAUAUUGCUACUAGAAUAUUGACAAUGAUACUACCUUAUUCAUAUUUUCCUAAUUUUAAUUGUACUCCUUUGUGUGUUUGUGAGUGUGUGUAGGUGUUUAGUUCUGUGCAACUUUAUCACAUGUGUAGGUUGUAUCUACCACCACAUCAAAAUACAGAACUGUUCCUUCAUCACAGAUUCCUUAUAGUUCCCUUUUAUAGCCACUCUGCCCUCCUUCCUGUGCCCUGUCCCUGCCCAGCCCUGACCCCUAGCAACUACUGGUCUUUUCUCCAUUUCUAAAUUUUUGUCCUUUAAAGAAUUUUGUGUAAAUGAAAUCAUACAGUAUGUAAACUUUUGGGAUUGCCUUUUUUUUCCUUAGCAUAAUUCUCUGAAGAUUAAUCCAAGUCAUUUUAACAGUUCAUUCUUCUUUUUUUGCUGAGUAAUAUCCCCUGGUAGGGAUGUACCACAAAUUUUAUUUAACUACUUGCCCAUUGAAGUACCAAGUUGGUUCCUGUUUUUGCUAUAAUCAUUUCUGUACAGGUUUUUGUAUAAUCAUGAAUUAUAUUUGUCUAGUUUAAAGGCUCAAGAGUCCAAUUGCUAAAUCACAUGGUAACGGCAUGUUUAUUUUAUAAGAUUGCCUGAUUGUUUUCCAUGGUGUCUGUACCCAUCUGUUGCAUUUUGCUCUUUUUCACUGUGGCUAUUAGACAAUUUAAAAUUACAUACAUAAUUUUUCACAUUUGUAAUAAUUUUUCACAUUUCAAAAGAACAGCACCCAGACAGUUCUUGUUCUCAAGAACAGGACUUGAGACAGUCCUGUUCUCCAGUACCAAGCUCUUACCACCUCAGGCUUUCCCAGGUGCCUCGAUUUCUAGCUGGAGUGUGUUCUCAUUAUUCCCGGACAGAUGCACAGACUUCUACAGCACAGUGAGUGGUUAAAAAAAGAAUCUAAAACUAAGCAACCUGGGUUUGGAUGCUGGGUCUGUCCCUUACUGGCUCUGUGAUUUGUUAAGGUAUUUAAUGCCUUUGUUCCUCAGUUUUCUUAUCUGUGAACAGGGUGACUGUAGCAGUACUGAUGUCAUUAGGUUGGUUUGAGGGUUGAGUGAGUUAGUACAUGUAAAAUUGGGUCCCAUUGAAACCCUUCUAACCCUUUACCCAAGAGUAGGUUUAAAUCCUCAUAUAGACUUCCAUUGCAGUCAAUGUCCUUGUUAAAAUUGUAAUUACAUGAUUGUAUUAGUCUGUUUUCAUGCUGCUGAUAAAGACAUACCCAAUACUGGGCAAUUUACAGAAGAAAGAGGUUUAAUGGAUUUACAGUUCCACAUGGCUGGGGAGGCCUCACAAUCAUGGUGGAGGGCAAAAAGGAGCAAGUCACGUCUUACAUGGAUGGCAACAGGCAAAGAGAGAGCUUGUCCAGGGAAACUCCUGUUUUUAAAACCAUCAGAUCUCGUGAGACUCAUUCACCAUCAUGAGAACAAUGCAGGAAAGACCUGCCCCCAUAAUUCAAUCACCUCCCACCAGGUUCCUCCCACAACACGUGGGAAUUGUGGGAGCUGCAAUUCAAGAUGAGAUUUGGGUGGGGACAUGGCCAAACCAUAUCAAUGAUUGUUUCAUAUUUUUCUCCACUACUGGAAUCUAAAUACCUAUGAGGCCAGUGACCUCAUCUAUCUGAUUUAGUGCUGUAUCCUCAUUGCUAGCACAGAACUAGUUAAGAGAAGGCACUUAUCACUUAAGAAUGAAUGAAUGAAUGAAUGAAUUUCCUUCAAUGUAAACAUUUACUCACUAUUUACUUAAAGUACUAUUUUGUUUAAUUUAUCCUUUCUUAAUGUUUAAAAGAUCAUGUAUUAUUCAUGUUUCUCUGAUUCGGAAGACUAGGCCUCUAAGUUAUCUGAACAGUUUUUACAUGAAGAUCCCAUGUAUUCUGAAAUAAAAAU